AUUGGUUAAUGGUUGGCAUUAAAUCAGGACACUUUGCUAAAGCAUGAGCACAAAACUAGUUACUAGCCUGUUAGCUAAUCAGAGAAAUAACAAUAAAGCUUUCAGGACACACACCUAUAGCUUGACAAGAAAGAACACAAAAGAUGCUAAGCUAGAUACUACAGCUACCUUAUAGCUACUCAACUGUUUAUAGCCAGUGUGAAAUUCAUGAAGGACACAAAUAUGCUAAAGUAGCUACUAGCAUGCUGGGUAAUUAUAGCUGUAAAAUCCUUACACACACACUAAAUUGUUAAACUAGCUACUAGUGUUCUUGCUAAGUGAGCAAGACAAGUUUUAUUCCCUAUUCCCUAGAGAUUACAGAGAGUCCAAAAAUGAGCUAGGCUAGCUAUUAUCCUGCUGACUAUUGGCUAGCAUCAAAUGAGGACAAAGCAAAUAAUUUUUCAUCAUCGCUGAUUUUAUAAACCCAUGCAUUUUUAAAUGUUAAUUUACAGUUAGCAGUGUAUUAUGGGUUUUAAAAGCUGAUGUUUCUUCCAGAUGUUUUAGUAAGAAUGCUAACAUGUUAAAGCCUAACAUCGGGAGUGUUGAGGUUGUACAAAAAUGAUAAUGCUGCUAACAACGAAGUCGAUAUCUGUGUGCUUCUCUUCCUCAUGAUUUAGUAUUAGCAUGAGCAGCUAAAUGAACAUCAUUAGUGCUGAAUUAGGAUUGACUUAGAAUCAGGUAGCUAAAGAAACUGCACACGAUCGGCUGUGUAGUGCUCAAGCUUAGCUGUGUGUUCAUUAGUGACACCUUCUUACCUGAAAUCAUUAUUAAUUUCAAGUGUUUAUUGAAUCCACAGGCCAUAACGACCGAGCCAAUCAAUUCCAGCCUGAGGUGCUCCAUCAAUUAGUGCCUCUGAUAGUUAGUAUUAUCUAAGACGAGGCGAGUCGGAUGACCUUCUUGGAGAAAAAGCUGCCUUGUUCCAUCAAGCAGGUCUUCCUGAGAUAAAAAGCUGCCGUGUUCCAUCAAGCAGGUCUUCCUGAGGUAAAAAGCUGCCGUGUUCCAUCAAGCAGGUCUUCCUGAGGUAAAAAGCUGCCGUGUUCCAUCAAGCAGGUCUUCCUGAGCGGGCCUCCAGGGAGAUGAUGAUGAAACAGUAACGCAACAGAGCUAAAGACACUCCAUCAUGUGCCCUCGUUUCCUGCAGGAUAGAAAGAAGGAGGGGUCACUCUUCCACUCCUCUGCUCCUCCACUCCUCUCUCUGCCUCUCUUUUCUCUCUUUCUUUUAUAAUGACACCAGUUUUGCUCAGUGACAUCGAUGUGCUCCAGCCCUAAAACACAAACUCUCUCUCUCUCUCUCUCUCUCUCUCUCUCUCUCUCUCUCUCUCUCUCUCUCUCUCUCUCUCUCUCCCUUCUUUCCAUCUUAACCCCCUCUAUGAUGCACCCCUCAGUGACGUGUCACUCCUGUCUGUCAUUAAAAAAGUUUCUGCAUUAGCCCUCUGAAUGUCAUUUAAAGAAUGAUGACAUCAUCACUCACUGUUUUAUUAUUAUUAUUUUAUUCGUGGUGGAAAAAGUGACAGAAGAAAAAACCAACAACGAAGGAAUCUAAAUCACAAAAUGUUAAAGAAAAGAAGAAGGAUGAAUGGAUGAAAGAGAGGAAAAACCCCUGAAGCUACCGAAGAAGUAAAAGAAAGAAAGAUUAAAAUAAAAAAAUGAUGUUCAGUUGAAUUCAACUGAUUUUUUUUAAAUCCGAAAAAGUCUUGAAAUGUCUUUUAAAGCUCAGUACAAAUUAAACCAUUUAAUUACUCCUGUUAUUAAUUAAAACAUUUUUUUUUACAAAUAAACACAAUGAUGGAUUAUAAA